GGAGAAGCAGAACACGCCGAGCCGGCCUCCACGCAUGGUGGUGUCUAUGGUGACCCCUGAGUCAGCCACCAACUCGGAGCCUUCAUAAAACUGCACCCUGCGGACAACACAGCCAGAGCGGGCCUCCACCUGGAGCAUGCUCCCGCUGCUGUGUUCCCCUUUCCCUACGAGACUGGAAGCUCCAUGAGGUCAGGGACCACCUGUCCACAUCUCCCCUCUUCUGUCUCUCCAAAGGCCUAGCAUGAUGCUGGGCACCGAGUUCAACUCGCUGGGUACUCGCUGAUGAGUUAAAGAGAAAUCACAAUACGACUCAGGACCGAGAGGCUUUGUGACUUCACUGUCCAGUGGUUGACUCUGCAGAUACUGAGCCGCUGAUACGGAAGGCCGACUGUGGGACUGGAGCAUCUGCAGAUCUUUAUCCCUGGCGGGGUCCUGGAACUGAUCCCCUGAAUUGCUCAAAGUCCUACAGGGAAAUAAGGCAGAUUACAUCGGCUCACAUGAAGGUCAGUUCAUGCCGAGGGUGGGACGUGCCGUCACUGUGUCAGGCACUGGGGAGACCAAGAUAAAAUGAGACAUGGGUGCUGCCCUCGUGGAGUUUAUCAGACCGUGAGGGACUCACUGCAGCGUGAAAUGUUUGUGGGUCCACAGGGAGGAGGACACACCGGAGCAUCUACUGCAGAGAUGAGAAGCAUGGCUCUAGGGUCAGACUGCCUAGGUCCCAAAUCCAGCAAUCUUAGCUGCUUAACUGCAGUGCUACCAUGAGUAAUCACUCAAGCUUUGUAACACUUGAGCUCAUCAUCUGUAAAACGAGGCUAAUGAAAGAGCUCUGUCACAGGGCUGUUGAGAGGAACAAACACGACGUGGAACAGUACCUGGCUGGAGGUCGGCACCCUCAAAAUUUACCCACUACUCUCAGAAGGGCCUGUGUCGAGAGGCAACGCUGAGCCGGUGCCGACCGCGUGACCCUCACCUUGUUCAGGACCACCCAAUUGGGAUCGAUCUGGGCGUCCCCUUCAGGGUCCAGGACCACCGUCUGAUAGGCCCUGAAGUCGGUCAGGGUGACCUCUGCGUUCUCCGGGCACACGUCGAUCCGAUCGAUGACCUGGUCGUGGUCGAAGUCUGUCUCGCAGAUGUCCCCCACGCCGUCGCCUGUGGGGGUGGAGGAGGAGGGGACCAGUUCAGUAAUGCCUACUACCCCCAAGCCACCCCUCCGUGACAGAGGGGGCUGGGCAAGGAGCAGAGAGAGCCCAAGACCCAGCUCCACGUGGAGCCAGGAGUCCUGGAAUCAGCCGUGUCUGAGCCGGCCCCGCGGUCCUCGUGGUGGGUUGGUGAACCCCACUGCAGAAACUAUCGGAUCCAGCCUAUACUUUGAUGAUAGUCACCUAUAUGUUCCGGAAGCUAUACAGGAACAAACGUCCUCCCUCACGGCCUGUGAGGCUCCAGAGUUGUGCUCCAGAGGUGCUAUUCACACAGACCACAAUACGAGGCCCCUUCAGUGGCCCCUGGAGCUGGGUGAUGCAGCCGCCCUGCCUGACAGCUCUUCCCAGGCUCCUGGGAAAUGCCCGAGUCUCUGCAGGAGGAGCCUGACCCACGGCUGCAGCCCAUGACCCUGCUCAGCCCCUCUACCUCAAUCCUCCACUUCCAGGACCCUUAUGCAUGAGAAGGAUGGUGGGGAGGGAGGAAAGCUGCAGUCUGGGAAGACAGAUGCCCUACAGAGCCACAUCCCUGACAAGACACUGCUCGAAGGGAUUCCUACAAAGUUUCUGGCAAUGAUAUAGAGUUCCCAGAACACCAGGGUUCUUCUUCCACAGAAACAAGUGGGCCUUGGGGCCACCAGGCACAGGCCAUGUGGAACCCCCUGGAGCGGAAAGGCCCUCAGAGUCAGUCAUUCUAUUCCUGCUCCUAAGAGAGAACAAGGGGAAAAAGGACAAAUGAAUCCCAAGUAAAAGACUAAGCAAGACACACCCACCAUCUC